AUGCUAAUGGAUAACUCACACUUUCUUCAUGUUAUGUCCCCUAACUGCAGAAUCCUCCCAGAUCUGUUCCUUUUUGAGUACACCUCCCUGCUGCUCUCGGACUCCUGCUCUGCGAUAACCCAUUGUGUCGCCAGGGUCUCUGCAGCAGCAACUAACACCAGACGGACAGUGACUGACCCUGCAGGGCAGCUAUCUACCAGGAAUGCAGCCAGAGGAGCAGCUAUCCUCAAGGACCAACACCUGGAACCUGCCUGUGAGAUACCACCAGAACAACUCCAACACUAUGCCUCCAAUUCCAAGCCCCUCCAGGCAUUCCAGAAGGAUACCAUGGUUGAUGGCAUCGAAAGCUGAUGUAAGGUCUAGAAGCACCAACAAGGAAAUACACCCCUUGUCAAUGUAAAGAUGGAGAUCAUCAACCAAGGCAACCAUAGCAGCCUCAGCUGCAUAUCCUGCUCUGUAGCUGGUUUGAAAUGGGCCAAGGAAGUGUGUGUUAUCCAAGACUGUCUGGAGUUGGAGGCAACUGCCUUCUCUAUCACCUUGCCCAAAAAAGGAAAGUUAGACUCUGGUGUGUAAUUAUUAAGGUCCAGAGAAUCCAGGGAGGGCUUUUUCAGCAGCGGUCUAACUACUGCUUCUCUUUAACAAAAUGGAAUAUUCCCUUCCCCGAGAGAUGCAUUAAUAAUUUGUAGUAUUUGAUAAUGAACUCAUAGUUCAUUAUCUGUAUUGAUUAUAAUUAUAUGAGAAGACAAAUAUAAAACCAUUUGCAAGGACUUUCCAUUUGUGAUUUUUUUAAUUUUAACUUUAUGGAGCCUGUAAAAUGAAAUAGCAAAGUUUCUUACAGAGUAAUUCCCCGGCCCACCCGACUCCACUGUCUUCCAUGAAUCAAUGAAUCCAUAGUUGUGUUUGCGGCUAGUUUCAUUUGACAAGAAUUCUGGGUGAAAAGAAAUAUCCUCUGCCUUAAGGAUAUUCAUCUUCAGUUGCAUUCUUCACAGUAUUGAAGCCUUCAUAGCCUCACUCCGGUUUUGCUUCACAUUGUGUCUUACUGCAAAAGUGCUAAUACUGGCACCAGUGGGAUGCAUAUCUUGUCAGCAUUUCAGUGGUUUGUUGAAACAAAGAGUGAACAAUGAGUGCUGGGAGGGAGGGAGCUUUGAUCUCGUUCUUGUGGAGCUUUGUUUUUGUUUUCUCUUCUGCCUUCUGAAUUCUCACAGUAUUCCCUGGGAUUUCUUGUUGAGGAAGGCAAAGAUAUCUCAUUACUAUUCUACCUUUAGUACCAUUUUUGUCUUUCACUUCACCUGUAUCAAGCUUAUUUAACAGUUUUAGGUUGUUUGUUAGAUGAGUCUUCUCACAAAUCCAGUAUUUCCCAGACAUCUGAUAACUAGUCUACAUUUCUUAGUUGAAUUAAAAUUCGAGUUGUAUUGCACUGUCUUGUAAUUUAAACGUUUCAUUUUAGGAGGCAAUAAAAUUGUGUUUUAUGUGUUGUCGAAGGCUUUCAUGGCCGGGAUCUCAGGGUUGUUGUAUGUUUUCCGAGCUGUAUGGUCAUGUUCUAGAAGUAUUCUCUCCUGACGUUUUGCCCACAUCUAUGGCAGGCAUCCUCAGAGGUUGUGAGGUAUGGAGAAACUAAGCAAGGAAGGUUUAUAUAUAUCUGUGGGAAGACCAGGGUGAGGGAAGAACUCUUGUCAGUUGGAGGCCAGCGUAAAUGGUGUUUUGUUGCCUUCUAAAAAACCUAUCAAUUUUGACUCUCUCCAACCUCACCCCCCCCCCCAAUAUGCUGCUUUAUUAUUUUAGAUGUGUCUCCUUCCAAAACUAGAUUCUGGGAGCAGGCAAUAUGCAGAUAAUUCUUCACUUAAAAUAGAUAUGUGCUUUUAUUUUUUAAUCCAUUUAUUUUGUCCCUUGGGCCUUAAACUUAACAUUUUUCUGUAUUUCUUAAUAGAUUUAUUUUAUUAUGUAAACUCAUUGUUCUUUUUUUACUAAUGGAAAAACUUGCCAAUUUUACUUUUUCUCAUAUAUAAUUCUUUAAAGUUCUUUUUUCCCAUUGUCCUUUCUUUUAUUUUAUUUUUAGAAUAGUUUUUCCAUCAGAUCUGUAAAAAAUGUCUAAUUGUUGCUAAGUUCUUAUCAAAACUUAAUUUAACAAAAUUCAUCAUCUGCACUAUUCAAAUUCAAAAGCACACCUGUUCCUGUCAUGGCAAGGAUCUGAAAAAAAAAGUUUGCUAUUUCGUUUUACUCUAUCAAGCUUACUUGACUCUUAAGUUGUUUAUUGGAUGAUCCUUUCCCUUAAUUCAGAAUUUACUAGGCAUCUGAUAACUAGUUUACAUGUCUUAGUUGAAUUAAAAUUAGAGUCAUAUUUCACUGUCUUGUAGUUAAAAAGUUUCAUUUUAGGAGGUGUUAAAAUUGGGCUGGAUUCAGCAUUUGGAGUGCACAAAUGGCUAAGUUGUGUGUAACAAUUUGGAAAACCAGUAGAACCACUACUCAUACAAUUUAUUGUCUAAUCUGUUUUAUAACAGCUGUGCACAAACACUUGUAGAAUGGGAACCUGUGUUAGAUAUUAUCCAGGCAGCAAUUCAGAAAAUUGGCAACUGCUAAUGCACUAGACCUUGCAUUGGCACAAUGAAAUGAUUGGAUCCAGACAAAUGUGUACUUUUAACAUUUAAAAGAGGGUUGGUGUACCUGCACUAACAGAUUUAUGCAUGUGCUCCACGAAGUCCACUGUGUACACUUCAUACCUCUGUAAAAGUUUCUAAUAUUUCCAUCUCAUUGAUACCAGUAUUUAGUAGGCACUAUAGAUUAUAGAAAAAUGAGCACAGUCAGAAGUAAUUCCAAAUGUAUAUGAGCCCAGAAUAUGUCUUCCUUCUUCUCUUCCUCCUCUUGUAUUGGCCACUUAUGGAUUUUUUUGGAUGACGAAAAAAGGGGAGAUGUAGAUUUGCAAAAGAUCAGAUAUACUCAAAUACAUGCAGAGUUGCAAAUGAACUCAGGGGAUCUGUCUUCUUUUCUUAGAGUUCCUUAUCUCUAAAUUGACUUCAAUUAGAAGAUGCUCUGUAACACCUCUUCAUUUAAAGGACAGUUGUGCAUGAUAGUGGAUGGUUGGUUACUGUAUCAUUUAUUGUAAUUUAGGACUCAUUCCAUUAUCUCCCUCCCUUCCUUCUGGUAAUAAAAUGAUUUCAAAAGUUGGAAUGCACUGGUCAUCAGGUUAUAAUUAAAAGAACAAAGAAAACUUGUUAGAAAUUCUUUGCUUAUAUUAGCUGUUCUACUAAUUUAGAAAUUAUGAACUAGGAGUCCAUCCAUAAUUAUUUAUAAAAUAGAUUGCAUUAAAGUAUUGCUUUUUCUAGCUGGCUGAAUUAUUAUGUGCUAUAAUUAUUAGGCACUGGACCUCAAACUGAAAAAUUAAUUUUAACCUACUUUUAUUAUGCACCAUAAUAUAAAUUAAUUACUUAUGUGCCUGGUACAUUGUGAAAUGGGAAGAUACACUUUUCAUUAACUGGCUGUAAUUUAUUAUAGGUUUCUGAUACCAUGUUGCAAUAAGUGGACAUACAUUCUAAUUAAAAAGGUGACAAAGGGUUCACUUUAAUUUAGACAUUUACACAACUUAUGCAGGAAUUAAAAAGAACAGUUGCUACUUAAAAUGAAUUCUCUCAAACCUUUGGCGCUUUUGUCAGUGUGUGAUUAAGUAAAACAAAUGGUUUAUAAAGCAUUCAUGUUUUCUAUUCUCUUAAGCACUUACAUCUGCAGCUGGCUUCAAUCGAAAUAUUUUAAAUGCUUUCAGAAAUUAAGACAUUCUAGUAAGUAAAAUGAAGCUAGAACACUUAAACAAAGAGAAAUUCUUGCUGCCUGUAAGGCUUUGUCUGGCAGGUGAGAAAUAAUAUAACUGAAUAUCCUCUGAUAUGCAGAAGCUUCCUCUACACAGAGAGUAGAUCCUUAUGGAUUUUCUGUGAAUGGGGAUUCUUUCUUUCAGCGUUCAAAUCCCCACUCAAUUAUUAAACCCAUUGGGUGACCCUGGUUAAGUCACACUUUCUCAGCCUCAAAGGAAGGUAAUGGCAAAUCGGUUCUGAACAAAUCUUGUAAUAAACUCUUUGAUAGGUUUGGCAUAGAGUCACCAUAGGUUGGAAAAGACUUGAAGGCACACAACUACAUUUGUACAAUUCCACAUUCCAUGAACAGAUACAUCAACAUGAUUCUCUAUUCAAACAAGGCCAUAACUAGGGAGUAAACAAGUUCCAAGGAUAUAUCAUGCAUACUGGACAAAAAAAAUGAAAGGGAGAGUAAAAACGAAAGAAGAACAAACAAAAUCCGAAGGGACCCAAAAAGUCUGCUUCAGUUUUGUAAGACUCUGUGGUGGCAGCAAAAUAGGAGGAGGGAGGGAUGUAACUUGCGUUAAUGAAAGCCCAAGUGUCCUAAAAGUUUCUAAGAAAAAAGACUAAUGUCGUCUUAUAAAAAUAGACUUACAUGUGAUCAUCAGGCUGCACUUUCCUCACCCAUACAAAUGAAAAAAGGAAAUGGAUAAGUCACACUACAUUUAGCCUUUCAGAUUUCCAUAUCUAAGUUGUAAGUCUCCAUUGUUGGGAUUUUUUCAACAAAGAGGAAAAACUGAUGUCUUAUUGUGAUUGUAUUUCUAAGCACAGAUGCAACUACUCUGCAGCAUAAAUGCUUGAACUACAGAUUUCAUAAUAAAUUACUGUUUUGUUAGUGUCUCACUAAAAUGACUUCAUUUUGUAAACUCAUUCACAUGCCACAAGAUAGACUGUGUUCUGUAAAGGCAAGAAAACAGUGAUGAAAUUUUGUGAAGAAACGUUGACAAUAGUGUUUCCUUCAGGAAAUAAUCUAGGGAUAUAAAUCUUUG
rnacentral:lncRNA from 1 species